GCCAAGUCACUCUGGCCAAGUCAUUCUGGUUCGGUUCAGACGGAGCGAGCGGUCUUCUUCCUCCAGAACCCUCUCUGCCGUGCGGCGCGGCUCCUCUUCCCUUCAGAAGGCAAGAGCGAUUUUGGAUCCGGGGCCUCGAGCUCGCGCUGCGCUCCUGCCCUCUCCCGCCGACUCCCGGAGCUCCGUUCAUCGAGGGGAUGGGGAACAGUGCAUCUGCAACAACCGUUACCCCAACUGCAGAAGAAAAAACCGGGCAAGCUCCAGCGCCUGACACGAAGCCGAAGAAGAAGAUAUGCUGCGCCUGCCCCGACACAAAGAGGCUGAGGGACGAGUGCAUCGUGGAGCAUGGCGAGGACGCGUGCGGGAAGUGGAUCGAAGCCCAUCGCCUAUGCUUGAGAGCCGAAGGGUUCAACGUCUGAUACGUUCAUAGCGGCUCUAGACUUGCUCCUGUGGUUCUGGACGACGAACAAUGUCAGUUAACAGUUUCAUCUCUGGGCAUUCCAGUUUGCGGGAAGGGAUGUUUUCCCCCUAAUAGGCAUUCAUGCCACAGAUAAUGUAUGAAAUUUUGUUAUAGUGGUACUGUGUUUGGCUUCUCCAAAUGGUGUUAUUUUUUGGAGACAUUCU